rnacentral:rRNA from 1 species
UACGUAGGUGGCAAGCGUUGUCCGGAAUUAUUGGGCGUAAAGGGAGCGCAGGCGGAAAUUUAAGUCAUACUUAAAAGUGCAGAAGUAAAAUUUGUGAUGGGUAUGAAACUGGAUUUCUUGAGAGCAGGAGAGGCAAGCGGAAUUCCUAGUGUAGCGGUGAAAUGCGUAGAUAUUAGGAGGAACACCAGUGGCGAAGGCGGCUUGCUGGACUGCAUCUGACGCUGAGGCUCGAAAGCUGGGGUAGC